rnacentral:rRNA from 1 species
GCUUGUCUCAAAGAUUAAGCCAUGCAUGUCUAAGUAUAAAUCUCUUACUUUGAAACUGCGAACGGCUCAUUAUAUCAGUUAUAGUUUAUUUGAUAGUCCCUUACUACUUGGAUAACCGUAGUAAUUCUAGAGCUAAUACAUGCGUCAACACCUUUGGGUGGUAUUUAUUAGAUACAAAACCAACCCGGGCAACCGGUCCUUUGGUGAUUCAUGAUAACUUUGCGAAUCGCAUAGCUUUAAUGCUGGCGAUGGGUCAUUCAAAUUUCUGCCCUAUCAACUUUCGACGGUAGGAUAGAGGCCUACUGUGGUGAUAACGGGUAACGAAGAAUAAGGGUUCGAUUUCGGAGAGGGAGCCUGAGAAACGGCUACCACAUCCAAGGAAGGCAGCAGG